CCCUGACCUAACCAAAAUAAUGAAGAAAACAAAGAUAACUAAGGCCAGGGCGUGACAUACAUAUAGAAUCCCGAUUAAUUCAAUAGGAUCUCUGUGGGCCUAGUCGUAAAGAUGUGUGAUUUAACUUUUAAAAUGUGUUAACUUUUGUUGUGGCAUAAACACAACCAGUCAUGAUGUUUUCUUCUGAUUGUCAAACAACUACUCAAAACAGUGGUGAAUGGAAAGAGACAUCUUCUCCACAGAACACCAACAAGUGUAAUGACAUUUGGCAAUUUUCAUUAGGCCAGAAUUUAUGUCCACUGCUGUCUGCAGCGUCGGGCAUUUUAUCUCGGCCUUGGCAAAAUGUAGGUGUUCUCGUUGAACCACAUCGUAUUUUGGAGCGUUUUCAAGUCCAUUCUGACAUAAUGGUGUAAUAGCCUACCGUUUUCUUGACAUUGUUGUAAAUACUGUUAUGGGCUCAUCUUUAACCAGUAUGGCGUACCUCCACUAUUUAUUUUGCCGGGAUUCCGUACCAGACCGUACCGCCUUACUUUCGCCCCUGGUCGGACUAGAAGUUAUAACUGUUCGAACAGUAAUGUUAAGUACAGGGUUAACAGUAACGUUACUUGCUGUUGAGCAAUAACUUCAUAUUUAACAUUAGCCUAGUUCGCUAGCUAGCUACUUGUUGUAAAUACCAUUGCUUGUGUUCAAAACUAUGCACAAGCUAUAGUGUUAGUCAUGCGGUAACCUAUAUUCCUAUUUUCCACAGCGGUGCUGGUCCCAACACUUCUCUUUUCUUCUAGUUCUCCUGAUUUGACACUUCACUUUAUCUGUGAUGAGCUGAACGGUUACAGUCUAAAUGGGUCUUGAUAGUUUCAUUGCACAUGACCUGUUAUGGUGAAAGUAAUGGAUCUAUGGUAAGGAGUGAGAGCUGGAGGGGCAGCUGUCACCUGUAAGGGUGAAAAAGAACUCUCCCCACUGGAGUCAGCAUCGAGUGACUGGAGGCCAUAGACGCAUCCUGGAAGUGGUAUGCGGUGAUGGAUGAAGUGCUAGCGGGCUGCCACUUCAUUGCCCCAUCGGUCAUCAUCUCCUCAUCCUCCCAAGGUGCAGCUAUAGGCUCCCCUCCUUCCCAGACUCGCCCUAAUGUGGGCUGGAGUAGGAGAAGGAGGUGACUGCCAGGGAGUCAUGACUUAUGGCCGUUUUAGAGACCAUGAUUAAGAAGUAGUUUUAUGUAUUUUGUAUGUACAGUAUUGUAUUUCUUUUUUUAAUCCCAAAGUGAAUUUCGUUGUUUAAAAAAAAAAGUGUUUUCUUCUUUGUAAUAAAAAAGAAAAAGUGAUACAGGUACAUCUACUGUUGGUGUGUUUUAUUUUUUUUAAAUCUACAUUAAAAAAAUGCACUUGCACAUCGGAGCUAUCUUGUUGCAGAUACCCGAACACUGCUCUUGCUAGUAUCACUUUAUUAUUGAAGUUUAUUUGUCGGCCUCUUGGCCUUGGUUUUUUUGCUCUACGAAACUAAAAUAAACCAUCUGUGGCAUAAUAAUAAUUGAUGACAUUUUUAUAGCGCUUUUCAUAACAAUCUCAAAGCUCAUCAAAAGUAUAAAAAACAAAUAAGCAAUACAUGAUCACAAGUAGCCUAGCUAUAGGUCAACCACUAGAGGCCAAGUCUGAGUGCAUGGAUCCUCCAAAGAUGGAGAGGGACAGUUCAUGGCUUGAUCAGAGUAAGGUGGUCAGGGAGAUGGCUGAUGAAGAUUGAAUUUGGUAACGAUCUUGUAGAGGGCUACUCUGGGAACGAGCCUGAUUCAUGUAGCCACUGAACUUCUCCGUCACAAUAUAUGGCACCUACUUGGCUGAUGCCUCAGCAGCUGUG